rnacentral:rRNA from 1 species
GACGAACCGUGCAAACGUUGUUCGGAAUCACUGGGCUUAAAGGGCGCGUAGGCGGACCGCCAAGUCGGGAGUGAAAUCUUUCGGCCCAACCGGAAAAGGGCUUCCGAUACUGGCGAUCUCGAGGGAGGUAGGGGUCGAGGGAACUGGUGGUGGAGCGGUGAAAUGCGUAGAUAUCACUAGGAACGCCGGUGGCGAAGGCGGUUCUCUGGGCCUUACCUGACGCUGAGGAGCGAAAGCGUGGGGAGCGAACAGG